GCGUCGAUGGUAGAGCGGUCAAUUACAACAGACUGUAAAUCUGUCGCCCUUCGGGCUACGUUGGUUCAAAUCCAACUCGGCGCAC
rnacentral:tRNA from 1 species